rnacentral:rRNA from 1 species
AUUGAACGCUGGCGGCAGGCCUAACACAUGCAAGUCGAACGAGCGGCGGACGGGUGAGUAAUGUAUGGGGACUGCCCGAUAGAGGGGGAUAACUACUGGAAACGGUGGCUAAUACCGCAUACUAUCGGAUAACCCAUAUGGGAUUAGCUAGUAGGUGGGGUAAAGGCGCACCUAGGCGACGAUCUCUAGCUGGUCUGAGAGGAUGAGCAGCCACACUGGGACACAGAAACGGCCCAGACGCCUACGGAGUCAGCAGUGGGGAAGAUUGCACAAUGGGCGAAAGCCUGAUGCAGCCAUGCCGCGUGGAUGAAGAAGGCCUUAGGGUUGUAAAGUACUUUCAGCGGGUAGGCGUUACCCGGAGAAGAAGCGCCGGCUAACUCCGUGCCAGCAGCCGCGGUAAUAC